UGAUUCUUAUCCAAGAUAUGAUGACGACAAUGAACGACCUGUAAUUGGGAAAAAAGAAGAGGAAGGUUCUCAUAGUGCUCCUAAUGUUGCCAAGGGGAAGAAGACAAGCAACGAAAAUCCAACAGUUGGAGUUGAUCAGGUAUCAAGUUCCAAUCCCUCAAAAGGUAAAAAUCCCUAGGCUAAACCAGCUCCUAUUAAAUGUUAUAAAUGCAAUGAGGAGGGUUAUUGGUCAAACAAAUGUCCAAGGAGGAAAACUGUGAACUUUAUUGAAAAACAAAGGGAAAUU
rnacentral:misc_RNA from 1 species